GAUGAACGCUGGCGGCGUGCCUAAUACAUGCAAGUCGAGCGAACAGACGAGGAGCUUGCUCCUCUGACGUUAGCGGCGGACGGGUGAGUAACACGUGGAUAACCUACCUAUAAGACUGGGAUAACUUCGGGAAACCGGAGCUAAUACCGGAUAAUAUAUUGAACCGCAUGGUUCAAUAGUGAAAGACGGUUUUGCUGUCACUUAUAGAUGGAUCCGCGCCGCAUUAGCUAGUUGGUAAGGUAACGGCUUACCAAGGCAACGAUGCGUAGCCGACCUGAGAGAGUGAUCGGCCACACUGGAACUGAGACACGGUCCAGACUCCUACGGGAGGCAGCAGUAGGGAAUCUGCCGCAAUGGGCGAAAGCCUGACGGAGCAACGCCGCGUGAGUGAUGAAGGUCUUCGGAUCGUAAAACUCUGUUAUUAGGGAAGAACAAAUGUGUAAGUAACUAUGCACGUAUUGACGGUACCUAAUCAGAAAGCCACGGCUAACUACGUG
rnacentral:rRNA from 1 species